GCAUUUUCAUUUUAUACGCUUUUUAUUGUUUUUCUACUUUUUUGCUCGUUUAGCAGGAGAUCUCAUGUUCCUACACUUUCUUUGUGCAUAGUUAGUAUAUAUGGAUGCUUAUCUUUUUUGCUCAAAAAACCAAAUGACGGAACAAUUGUUGCUUUUAAAAACACAACGGUUUCCAUAGCUCUAAUGUUGUAAGAAGGCUUU